rfam:Fictibacillus enclensis strain NIO-1003 genomic scaffold Scaffold8, whole genome shotgun sequence.
GGGCUCGUGGUGUAGCGGUUAACAUGCCUGCCUGUCACGCAGGAGAUCGCCGGUUCGAUCCCGGUCGGGCCCG